GAUGAACGCUGGCGGCGUGCCUAAUACAUGCAAGUCGAGCGAACAGGCGAGGAGCUUGCUCCUCUGACGUUAGCGGCGGACGGGUGAGUAACACGUGGAUAACCUACCUAUAAGACUGGGAUAACUUCGGGAAACCGGAGCUAAUACCGGAUAAUAUAUUGAACCGCAUGGUUCAAUAGUGAAAGACGGUUUUGCUGUCACUUAUAGAUGGAUCCGCGCCGCAUUAGCUAGUUGGUAAGGUAACGGCUUACCAAGGCAACGAUGCGUAGCCGACCUGAGAGGGUGAUCGGCCACACUGGAACUGAGACACGGUCCAGACUCCUACGGGAGGCAGCAGUAGGGAAUCUUCCGCAAUGGGCGAAAGCCUGACGGAGCAACGCCGCGUGAGUGAUGAAGGUCUUCGGAUCGUAAAACUCUGUUAUUAGGGAAGAACAAAUGUGUAAGUAACUAUGCACGUCUUGACGGUACCUAAUCAGAAAGCCACGGCUAACUUCGUG
rnacentral:rRNA from 1 species